UAUAGAAUAACUGUGCACUGGUACAGGACAAGAGAAGUGGAGAAUGGUUUGAGUAUACCUUUUAAUUGCAAUUUAUAUCCUCUAGUUCACGGGUUGAAAGGGACAGAGGCUUCUUUAUGCUACUUGUAACACUGUGAGGAUGGCUGACUACUCCAAACUGAAGUGGAAAACUGAAAGAAACCCCACAAACUUUGUAAUUAGGGUGGCAGGUACUCAACCCAUAUCCUGUCAUGGAUCCUGGGCAGAGUGGAGUCAGGAUACAGCUGGGAGCAGAUGUUCCUUUAAAAUUUCUGCUCAUCUUUCAUGCCUGUGGCUUUGCACUCCUAGCUAGGCAGUGCAGUUCACCCCUUGCCUGCAGUUACAAAG